UAAACCGUGGAUUAAUCCAUUCUGUCUUAAACCUUGCCAACCCUGGUUGAAGGAAUGUCACCAAAAAGUGUAGACUUCGCCUACUUUUUAUUUUAUUUCUUCUCUCAAACACAUAAAACCAAAUAAAAAAGUUUUUUAAAAAUAGUUGAAUUUCUUUUUUCCAGGCUAACUGAAUGUGUGUAUGUAUCUAGCAGCUGUAUAUAUAACCUAGAUACUACCUCCAUUUAGCUUAAUGCGGUAAACCAUCAUUUUUUAGAAAUAUAUGUCUGAUAUUAAAAAGACAGAAUUUAUCAAUAUUGUUCUUAUCUGAGUAUCGCAUGUUGAAUUAAAGAAAUUAUGACAAAAAAAAGUGUUAUUAUUUUGAACCCUUUUCUUGAAAACUUUAAUAAGUAUAUGAACUACUGUUUAAAAGUGUAAUUUCUUUAAACAUUGUUUUAAUUAACAUCAAUAAUAUUUUUUACAGGUUAUAAAACCACAUAUUCCUCUAAUAAAAUUCAAUAGAAGAGGUAAAGAAGCUGCUCAAGGAAUUAAUAGUAAACAAACUUCUGGAACAAUAACUAGCACUCACGAUAAAGGAAAAGAAGUUUUUAUCUUAGAAGAUGAUACACAAUUGCCUGCAAGAUAUCAUCGGAAGCCUCUUACGCAACAAGAAAUAGAAUAUAUAGAAGU